AACGAACGCUGGCGGCAGGCCUAACACAUGCAAGUCGAGCGGGUCCUUCGGGACUAGCGGCGGACGGGUUAGUAACGCGUGGGAACGUGCCCAAAGGUACGGAAUAGCCUCGGGAAACUGAGAGUAAUACCGUAUGUGCCCCUCGGGGGAAAGAUUUAUCGCCUUUGGAUCGGCCCGCGUUGGAUUAGGUAGUUGGUGGGGUAAUGGCCUACCAAGCCGACGAUCCAUAGCUGGUUUGAGAGGAUGAUCAGCAACACUGGGACUGAGACACGGCCCAGACUCCUACGGGAGGCAGCAGUGGGGAACCUUAGACAAUGGGGGAAACCCUGAUCUAGCCAUGCCGCGUGGACGAUGAAGGCCUUAGGGUUGUAAAGUCCUUUCAGCUGGGAAGAUAAUGACGGUACCAGCAGAAGAAGCCCCGGCUAACUCCGUGCCAGCCGCCGCGGUAAGAC
rnacentral:rRNA from 1 species